GCAAGUGGUUUGGGGAGGAAGCAGACCUGGGAUGGAAUCUCAAGUAGAGGGAGGGCCUGGGUUCCUUUACCAGCCACUGAGAAAGCUGGGGUGAAACCUCCAGUGGUAAGGAGUGUAAGGACUAUGGAGCCCAGAGAAAAGAUGGCAGACCUGAUGUAAGGUCAUUUGGCUACAGCUGGGUUGGACUCUUGAUUACCCUGGAAAGGAUGCACUAAAGUGUGACCUGACUGGGGGGCCAAGCUGCAGGAGAAGAGACCACUGCAGUGACUGUCGGCAGGGGUCAUGGUACAGGGAGACACAUGCCAUGCCUGGCAAUGAGGAGGUGCUUCUGUGGAAUUCAGCAUUCAAUGCAGCUGCCUGGCUGGACCUUCAGUACGAACACGGGCAAAUGGGGAUCUGCACCAACCGCGAUAAUAAAGGAGUGGAAGAGAAAUAUCAAAACCAUGUGAUACAGAAGCACGACUGUUUCUAAGAGCCUCUUUAAUACUGAAGAUCCCAACAGAGCUUCUACUUUUGACUUUGGGUUUGCUAAAGGAAACCCUGGAGACAAGGAGUUCUGACUCCCUUCCCUUCAGAGGACAGCGGCCAAGUUCUCUGUUGGUAAAAAUAUUUCACAGUUUUCAUUUUUUUUAUCUUCUCUUCAGUGCUUUGUCCUUUGUUCCUUCCUUGCCCUCCCUCCCUCUUUCUCUCCGUAGCAAGCCCCAGGGCAGUUUUCAUUGCACUCCAUGGUUUUAUCAGCACACACAGAGACUUGACAAGCAGAAUAAGGACUUCCAUGUCCAACAAUUACAUCUUGUGUUUAAGUGUCAAACGUGGAAAUGCCUUGGUUGGGUUGCUAAGGAAGGAGGGAAGCUGAGUCUUCUAAUGGUUCUCUGCUAGUUUGUAUCCAGCUAAGGAUCUGACUCAGGGUCUCUAGCUUUGGGUUGCAAGUUGCCGGUGUGGCUGUCUCACCAUCAUAUUAUCCCCACACCACAUCAAUGCUAAUAGACCUUUUAGGAUUAUAUGGGAUUUCGUGUAAACAGACAGUUGAUCAGAUUCCCAUCUAGGGGAUAUCAGCAGAGCUGCACUGAAGCAAAUGAUGAUGACGUCGGGGAUCAAUGGAGCUAUGCUGAUUUACAGCGGCUGAGGAUCCAACCCAGUGUUUCAAAUAGAAAUGUUCAAAGUUGAUGUUUGUUAAAAUAGCACACAUGAAACCAGAACACAAGGAAAUCCCAUGGGGUGAGAACACUUAAAACUGUGCUCAGAAUGCAUCUUGCUGGCAGAAUCCCUAAGUAGAAUUAUAGUGAUGGCUAAUUAUCUGUCUAUCUGAUCAUUCUUCUGCAACUGUAUACAAUUUUAAGGAAUAUGAAACAGUUACAUGUACAUGUCCAGAGACAAAAUAUUACACAGGUAAUUAGGCUGUAAAGUUGUGCAAGCAUUAAAGGAAUUCUUUCUGAUCAUACUCUGGUAAUCCAGAGACCAAAAUU